AACGAACGCUGGCGGCGCGCCUAACACAUGCAAGUCGAACGGCAGCGGACCUUCGGGUGCCGGCGAGUGGCGAACGGGUGAGUAAUAUAUCGGAACGUACCUUUCAGUGGGGGAUAACGUAGCGAAAGUUACGCUAAUACCGCAUAUUCUGUGAGCAGGAAAGCAGGGGAUCGCAAGACCUUGCGCUGAUUGAGCGGCCGAUAUCAGAUUAGCUAGUUGGUGAGGUAAAGGCUCACCAAGGCGACGAUCUGUAGCGGGUCUGAGAGGAUGAUCCGCCACACUGGAAUUGAGACACGGUCCAGACUCCUACGGGAGGCAGCAGUGGGGAAUUUUGGACAAUGGGCGCAAGCCUGAUCCAGCCAUGCCGCGUGAGCGAAGAAGGCCUUGGUGUAA
rnacentral:rRNA from 1 species